rnacentral:tRNA from 1 species
AGCCGUGUGACUCAGUUGGUAGAGUGUGGUGCUUGCAACGCCAUGGGUUGUAGGUUCGAUUCCCACGGUGG